UAAAUUGAAUAACUUCGUAAAUAUAAAGUGUGUAUCAACAAUAAAUAAUAUUCAUUUAUAUUAUGUCAGCAAAAGAACAAGAAUUAGAACUUUUUAUGGAAAAGGAACUUCUUUCACCCCACACUCAUAUAUUAAAGAUAUCGGGUAAACAAAAUCGAAAAAAUAUUCCAAUGGCAUUCAACUACUGGCUCGACAUACCAAAGGAAAAAGCAAAAUUCAUAUCAGAAUAUUUUUAUAUGAUACACACCGCAUCACUUGUGUUUUAAUGUUGUAGCGGACUCGCAAGAAGCCAAACUAGGUUUUAGAAAAUCAAACAAAUCGGAAAAGAACGUAUUUUGUUAAAGAAAAGUUGGAUGACAUUCUGGACAACACUCUAGUUCGACGUAACGUCCCAGCUGCACACCUGGUAUAUGGCAUUCCUCUUACAAUCAACGCGUCUAUGCAUGUUGUGAUGCUUUCGUUGCAAAAGCUCCUGAAACUUGGACAUCCUAUGAUUGGAUCAACUUUUUCGAACUGCAUGUUGGAAGCGAUCCGAGGUCAAGGGAAGGAAAUAUACUGGAGAGACAAUUUCCAAUGUCCAACUGAAGAACAGUACGAUCAUAUGAUAUUACAAAAGACCGGUCACAUGUUUAAGCUUCUUGUUAGCUUGAUGUCACUAUUUAGCACCAACAAGACGGACUAUUCUCACCUCGCCACACUUCUGGGAUGUUAUUUUCAACUUACUGAUGAUUACUUGAACAUAACCAAAACUGAGGCAUUGGAAGAAUGGUCAAGUACAGACACAAAUCAAGCAAGUCAAUAUUUCUAUGAAGAUCUGACGGAGGGUAAAUUCACUAUGCCCAUCAUACACGCCGCAAAACAAGAUGGAGGCGAGGCUGUUUUGGAUAUUCUCCGUCAACGAACCACUGAUAUAAGUCUUAAGAAACAAUGUGUGUUGCUACUGGAGGAGCUUGGCAGUCUGCAGUAUACGAAAAACAAAAUAUUACAACUUGAACGAACGAUUCGUAUAGAGAUUGAAAACUUCGGCGGAAAUCCAGAACUAUCUUCGCUUCUAGACGAGUUGGCUUCUAACAUCUAAGAUUUAUUGUAUUAUUAUUACUAAUUAUAUUAUAUCUUCAUGGUUUA